UGCCAAACAACAAAUGCACAAAGUCCAUGCGCACUGCUCAUCGCUCUGCUCUCAGUCGCACUUCUCCUUCUGCUCUUGGUGCCUUUUGUCAUCAAGACCUGGAUUCUGCACAAGAAACUGAAGGAAACACACACCACACGCAGGGAUGGAGAGAACAGAUGGACGCCCGCUGUGAGUGGACUCUACUGUCCCCGUCUCAU